rnacentral:rRNA from 1 species
GACGUAGGGUGCAGGCGUUAAUCGGAAUUACUGGGCGUAAAGCGUGCGCAGGCGGUUUGCUAAGACAGGUGUGAAAUCCCCGGGCUUAACCUGGGAACUGCGCUUGUAACUGGCAAGCUUGAGUGUGGCAGAGGGGGGUGGAAUUCCACGUGUAGCAGUGAAAUGCGUAGAGAUGUGGAGGAACACCGAUGGCGAAGGCAGCCCCCUGGGCUAACACUGACGCUCAUGCACGAAAGCGUGGGGAGCGAACAGG